UCUCCCCCGCACCACUUCUCGCCGCCGCCACCACCACCACCACCGACGGCGCCCGAUCCCGCCCGAUUCCAGCGUCCUCCGGCGUGCCCAGCACACCACCGUGCCCCCUCUCAAUGCUCCUUCCUCCCAUCGGGCCAGAUCCGGCGCGCGUGUCCUCAGUGGGGCCAAGUGUGACCCUGCCCAGCAGCUAGGGUUUGGGCCAGCAUGUCGCCAGCGUGGCUCCGGCGUUGCUCCGGUGACUUAGAUCUAGCGCACCGUAGCCGCUCGAGCACCGGGACGCCAUGGAUGGGAAGGCUUCUUCCUCCCAUGUCCCGAUGCCAUGAACGACGCAGCUCCACCACCAGACCAUGGAGACGGAGCUCCUUCUCCCGCAUCACUCAUGGAGCCUCCCUCUCAGCGCUCGGAGCCCUAGAGAGAAUUCAAGGCCAUGGCUGGAGAGAGGAGCUGCUCCUAGUACAGGAUGCCAUGUGCUGCUCUGAUGAGGAGAAACUGCUACUGUAGGAUGUCCUCCUCCCAUCCCCUACCCCCACACGUGGUGAGCUCCUAUGCAUAUGUGGAUAAUCAGGAACUAAUGUUUAAUUGGUUACUUCAUAAUCUGUUCCACUGUAUGCAUGAACGCUCACACAUUUUUUUCCUGCCAUUUAUAUACAUAACUAUUGGACAGUGAGAAGAUUUCCAUUGUGUGCAUGAACAAGCUUUUUUUUCGUCAAUCCAUUUCUUAUCAUGCAUACAUCCUAUCAUAUAUUAUAUGAUAAAUCUUUUAGUUGCUCACUGUCUAUAUAGGUGCUCAAAUUUUUAGAUUCCAUAGAACUUCUGUUUGUAGUGAAAAAAGGGUAUAUGCAGCUUUUAAUCAAUGUCUAUUUAAAUCAAUAGAAUACAUAUUGAGUAUAUGUGUUCAUUGGUGCACCAUGUCGAAUUACUUUUCUGUUUAAAAAAGUAAUUACUUCUGUGUGUUGUGAUGCAUCCCAUAGUAGUUUGCACCCAGCAACCAACCAAGGGCUGAUGCAAUAUAUGUUACCAUGUAUAUACCGCCCUUGCUGUUUUAAAAAAUAGACAUUGAGGAUACCUUUUUUUCCCUACACCCUGCUGUGGGAUUCUUAAUAGCCUUACCUGCAUAUGAACAAACUGCAAGAGACAGAUACAAUUCCUAACAUGUGAAAGGCUGUUUUAUGACUUAUCCAUCUCGCGACCACCUUCUAUAUCUACAGGAAUCUAUCACUUCUUUCUACUUACAUGGCAGAUAUAUCUACAAGUAAACCUACAUGUUUUUUGUAGUUCAAAUGGAGUAUCCUAUAUCAUUUUUAUUAUUAUGCAGAACUGUUUGUUCAGUCACAUCAGCCCUUUGCUAGAGCUGUUGUGGAGCAAAUUAGAUGGAACCAAUAGAUAAUUAUGUAGCUAUAAUUGGCCGGCAAUGGUUCACAGGGAUAUUCCUUAUAUUUACUUGAUAUUUGAUCUUAAUAUUCACUGGACACAAUUCUCUCAUGGUUGCAAUAUUUUUUUCCUAAGUUCACUCCAAUUGUGUUGGCAUUCAUGCUUUAUUUCUUUUAAUCAGUUUACUAAUCAUACCGAGAAAAUAAAUAUAACUACUUGAGAAUAAAGGGAAAAGGAGAAUAAAGGAUGGUUGUGGUAGCAGAAUGGUAUUUUUGCUUAGGUGCAAUCAUACUUAUGUAGUAGUAAAUAACCUGUCAUGCCAUUCUUCAAGUCUGCACAUAGCACUGUUAUUUUAGGAGCAGAUUUCUCAUCCUUCAGAAACCUGAACUUGCUUAAUAGCCAAUUUAGCAGAGUAUUACCAGUUCCUUGAUGUCAUUUCUGGUAUGCAAUCAUAUGACAUGUCUCGUGUAAAUAAAUAUGGGUUGUUGUCAAUUUUUUAAUCUACAAUUGAUCUAGUGUUUUUUACAUGGUAGCUUGAUAUCCUCCUUCCUUUUCUAAUAUGCAAACUUCAAAUAUGUGAGGUGCAUAAGUGCAUGAGGUGCGGUUCACCUUAGGCUGCUGCCGCUCGUCAGCGGUCUGGUCCAGCGUCACUUAACCAUUGUGACCUGGCUGGUUUGGUUCAGCUUUGAGCUGCCCACCGCGGAGUGGGAGGCCGACAUGCUCAUGAACAUCAAGGCCGGAUCAAGUAUGCUGGUGCACCGCGGCGUGCGGCGGCCUAUUUUCUUGUAGUGGUAUUUUAUAUGGUCUCAUCCAGCACUGAGUAUCCAUAUGUUGUUCUAAUCCUGAUGAUGAUGUUGUAGCAUAAAGUGGACACCAUAUUCAGUUUGUCUUGAUGCUUUACUCUUGUGGUUCUUGUCUGAUGCACAUUGUUCUUUGCAGGGUUAUGAUGAUAUUUCCAAGGAAAUAUACUGACCCUGAUGCGACAAAGGUGUCCAUUUUCCCUUUCUUAAACUUUUUUACUCUGUUUUUUGUUCUUCCUGUUGUUCCAGUUUCACAUUGCUGGUGUUUCAUGCAAUAUUCAUCAGAUCCUUCUUAGAUGCCUUAUUAUUGAGUAACUUGAUUAGUAUUUCUGCCACUGUCCUAUCUCAGUAAACUGUUUGUUUUUUCAGUAGCUAAAAAAGAAAGUAAAUCUAUUAUAUCCUGGUAUUCUAGAAUUUCAGUCUCACAGAAGUUACUCUGUGUCCUGCUUUAGCUUGCAAACCUGAUGCUCUGCUGUCUGUUCUCAUUUCUUAACUUUGAAAUGUUUCAAACUUAAGAGUGCCCUCAUCCUUUAUUACAUCUGUAUGCACCUUGGUAAGAAAUAUAUUGGUCUUGUAAAUAUCAUUGGGAAGUAUAUCUGCUUCUGUAUGUUCUUGCAAGCAUUAAAUGUUGCUAACAUUCUCACUAAAGAAUGUCCCUCCAGCACAUUCCUUUGAAAUGUGACCUUGAGUCAAGCUCCAAGAAGAUAUUCAAUAGAUCUGCAUCUGCUCUGGAUGCUCAUGUACAAGAUACUAGGUUAUUGGUUGUGUUAUUCUGGUUGGUACUAUCUUAUAAACAUGUGGUGUAAUGAUACUGCUGGGACAAAUUUGAUGAAACGAUGUGCUGUUUGUUCAUUCUGCUGUGUUAUUUUGUGAUCCUGUGGUGUAAUGAUACUGUGGUGUAAUGAUACUGUUGUGUUAUUUUGAGAAUUAUAUUAUUAUUACCAUUAUAUUAUCCUGUGCUUUUGGUUGACCACCAAAUUGUCCAAUGAAA